rnacentral:rRNA from 1 species
GGCUUGUUGAUAUUUAUUUCAGGUCUUACCUGCCCGCUGAGGUGUUGAAUGGCCGCGGUAUAUUAACCGUGCAAAGGUAGCAUAAUCAUUAGUUUUUUAAUUGAAAGCUGGAAUGAAAGGUUUUAUGAAAAAGUGACUGUCUCUAGGGAAGUUUAUUAAAAUUUUAUUUUUAAGUGAGAAAGCUUAAAUUUAAAUAGAAGACGAGAAGACCCUAUAGAGUUUUACAAGAAGCUAGGUGAUUAUAAAUAGGUAUUUUUAGGGUUAGUUAGCUAGGGCUUGUUUUGUUGGGGUGACAGAAAAAUUAAAUUAACUUUUUAAGAUUGAUUUACUGAUGUGUAGUUGCUUGAUCCUUUAUUUAGAUUAUAAGAAUAAAUUACCUUAGGGAUAACAGCGUAAUUUUCUUUAGAGUUCUUAUCGAAAAGAUUGAUUGCGACCUCGAUGUUGGAUUAAAAUUAAUUGUUGGUGUAGUAGCUAAUAUAUUAGGUCUGUUCGACCUUUAAAAUUUUACAUGAUCUGAGUUUAGACCGGCGUGAG